GACAGAGGGGGCAAGCGUUGCUCGGAAUCACUGGGCGUAAAGGGCGCGUAGGCGGCUUUAUAAGUCGGGGGUGAAAGCCUGUGGCUCAACCACAGAAUUGCCUUCGAUACUGUAGAGCUUGAGACCGGAAGAGGUUAGUGGAACUGCGAGUGUAGAGGUGAAAUUCGUAGAUAUUCGCAAGAACACCAGUGGCGAAGGCGGCUGACUGGUCCGGUUCUGACGCUGAGGCGCGAAAGCGUGGGGAGCAAACAGG
rnacentral:rRNA from 1 species